rnacentral:tRNA from 1 species
CGGGGUGUAGCGCAGCCAGGUUAGCGCGCAGCGUUCGGGACGCUGAGGUCGUCGGUUCAAAUCCGACCACCCCGACCA